AAUAGAUACCCCCGGUAGUCCACGCCGUAAACGAUGAGUGCUAAGUGUUAGAGGGUUUCCGCCCUUUAGUGCUGCAGCAAAACGCAUUAAGCACUCCGGCCUGGGGGAGUACGGUCGCAAGACUGAAACUCAAAGGAAUUGACGGGGGCCCGCACAAGCGGUGGAGCAUGUGGUUUAAUUCGAAGCAACGCGAAGAACCUUACCAGGUCUUGACAUCCUUCGCUACUUCUAGAGAUAGAAGGUUCCCCUUCGGGGGACGGAGUGACAGGUGGUGCAUGGUUGUCGUCAGCUCGUGUCGUGAGAUGUUGGGUUAAGUCCCGCAACGAGCGCAACCCUUGACCUUAGUUGCCAGCAUUCAGUUGGGCACUCUAAGGUGACUGCCGGUGACAAACCGGAGGAAGGUGGGGAUGACGUCAAAUCAUCAUGCCCCUUAUGACCUGGGCUACACACGUGCUACAAUGGAUGGUACAAAGGGCUGCAAGACUGCGAAGUCAAGCCAAUCCCAUAAAACCAUUCUCAGUUCGGAUUGCAGGCUGC
rnacentral:rRNA from 1 species